UGGGGAAUAUUGGACAAUGGGGGCAACCCUGAUCCAGCGAUGCCGCGUGGGUGAAGAAGGCCUUCGGGUUGUAAAGCCCUUUAGGUUGGGACGAAGGAUGCGAGAGGAAAUGCCCAUAUUUUGACGGUACCGACAGAAUAAGCACCGGCAAACUCUGUGCCAGCAGCCGCGGUAAUACAGAGGGUGCGAGCGUUAAUCGGAAUUACUGGGCGUAAAGGGCGCGUAGGCGGUCAAGAGAGUGUGAUGUGAAAGCCCUGGGCUUAACCUAGGAAGAGCAUCACAAACGCCUUGACUGGAGUAGAUGAGAGGGUGGCGGAAUUUCCGGUGUAGCGGUGAAAUGCGUAGAGAUCGGAAGGAACGUCGAUGGCGAAGGCAGCCACCUGGCAUCAUACUGACGCUGAGGCGCGAAAGCGUGGGUAGCGAACAGGAUUAGAUACCCCCGUAGUCC
rnacentral:rRNA from 1 species